CAUGACUGUAGCAAUACAGUUGAUGGCGACCGGCAAACGGGUGCGGAACACGUACAGAACCUUCCUUCGAGCGGGGAAUAGCCCGGAGAAAUCCGGAUUAAUACCCCCUAGUAUGGUGAAGAGGCCUCCUCUUUACUAUUAAAGAUUUAUCACUUGAAGAUGGCUGUGCGGCUGAUUAGGUAGUUGGCGGGGUAACGGCCCACCAAGCCUGCGAUCAGUAACUGGUGUGAGAGCACGACCAGUCACACGGGCACUGAGACACGGGCCCGACUCCUACGGGAGGCAGCAGUAAGGAAUAUUGGUCAAUGGACGAAAGUCUGAACCAGCCAUGCCGCGUGGAGGAUGAAGGUCCUCUGGAUUGUAAACUUCUUUUAUAUGGGACGAAAAAAGGCUUUUCCAGGUCGUCUGACGGUACCAUAUGAAUAAGCACCGGCUAACUCCGUGCCAGCAGCCGCGGUAAUACGGAGGGUGCAAGCGUUAUCCGGAUUCACUGGGUUUAAAGGGUGCGUAGGUGGGUUGAUAAGUCAGUGGUGAAAUCCCCGAGCUUAACUUGGGAACUGCCAUUGAUACUAUUGAUCUUGAAUACCGUGGAGGUCAGCGGAAUAUGUCAUGUAGCGGUGAAAUGCUUAGAUAUGACAUAGAACACCAAUUGCGAAGGCAGCUGGCUACGCGAAUAUUGACACUGAUGCACGAAAGCGUGGGGAUCAAACAGGAUUAGAUACCCUGGUAGUCCACGCCCUAAACUAUGGAUACUCGACAUCAGCGAUACACUGUUGGUGUCUGAGCG
rnacentral:rRNA from 1 species